AAACAAGAGCUUUAUGGCCAAGAGGAGAAAAAAUGUACUAAGAGCAGCCCUAAAAUACAUUUGUAGAUGAACUCUUGAGUCAGUUAUUAACUUAAUGUGUAAAUAAUGGGAAGUAGCUGAAGUAUGCAAGUCUCUCCCCCACAGGCUGGCAGGUACCCAGAGAGGCAGAAGGCUUCACUUGAACGGUUAAGGUGGCACUGGGGGUGUCUCUGACAGCACCUGUACGUGUGCAAGGGGUGUGUGGGAGAGGAAAUGCACUGUUCCCAACCUGGAAAAUAAGGAGCCAAACAAGAGAGUCACAUACUCAACACUGAGAGGAGUGCAGCCUUGAGAUAAAGAGAGAGAGAUCACUGAGAAAAAGUCUGCUUUGCAGGCUUGCCAAAGCUCAGAUGAUAUUAAUACAUCUAAAGAUUUUUUAUUAUUACUUUUUUUUUUAAUGCAAGUCAUCUGUGUGACAAAAAUAUGGUUGUAAAGUUUUUAUCACAGUUAAGCUCCAGCAAGGGAAGUGUGCAGCAGCUCUUCUACAAAGUUAAUCCAAUAAAGCCUUGCACACAAGACAUGAAAUGCUGCCCUAAGAGCUCAUUUUCUCCUGGUAGGCUCUUAACUGCCAUAAUUUGCUGCCAUUUAAGAAAGUAAAGCAGCAGACAUCCCUGCAGCCUCUCUGGGGCCAGCAGCAAGGCAGAUAAGGAAGCUGGCUCAUUAGAGCAGCCCCACCAAAGGGCACCUUGCUGGGAGCAUGGCUUUGCCUUGUCUCCAGCCAGGAACGGGGCUGCAGGUACUGGACAUCUGGGCAUCUUCGUAACGGCAUCAGUCCAGGCAGCAAACCUCAGCAGCUGCUCAGGGGAGCUCCACAACGAGAUGCACUAAUGGAGGACAAGCAGCAACUUCUGGGCUGUGGGAGAGGAGGCACUGGGAAAGUUGAAGGAGCUGCCUGGUCUUACAAGCUGCCUCCAGUGAAAAUCUGCUAAAUGAGAUGCUUUGUGACUGGCACAUUCAGCACUGCAAAGCUCUCCUGUGCCAGCCUCAGGACUUCCAGCAAGCAGCAGGUGCUGCAGCCCACUCUCAAAAAGCCUGCAGUCUUCAAAGGAAGCAAUUUGAGCAGCUUGUCUUGAAGUGCCCAAUGCUCCUUGUUUAUGUGGAGCCCUACAUCAGGCUCAGCCUGUGCAUCCCUACACAAGGUCAACACUUGGUCUGGUGUGACCUUCACACGAGCUUGGGAGGUGCAAGAAGAGGUGCAGCUGAGUGGUGCUAUUUCAUGGAGACUGAGUGGUGCUUGGGAAGAUUAUCCAGGGCAUGUCUAUAUUAGGACUGGUCUGUGAUGGCACCCAGACUGGUCUGCAGCAGAUAGCAAG